UACGUAGGGUGCGAGCGUUGUCCGGAAUUAUUGGGCGUAAAGAGCUCGUAGGCGGUUUGUCGCGUCUGCUGUGAAAGUCCGGGGCUCAACUCCGGAUCUGCGGUGGGUACGGGCAGACUAGAGUGCGGUAGGGGAGACUGGAAUUCCUGGUGUAGCGGUGAAAUGCGCAGAUAUCAGGAGGAACACCGGUGGCGAAGGCGGGUCUCUGGGCCGUAACUGACGCUGAGGAGCGAAAGCGUGGGGAGCGAACAGG
rnacentral:rRNA from 1 species